AACAAGGCAGUUGUCUGUGGAGUACAUCUUGUCUUGGGAGCACCCUUUGAUUUUACAUCUUGUGACAUUCCAAUCAUACGGAGAUGGUGGACUCUUAUUCUUCUGGAGAACUUUGGAGUUUUUUAUGAAAGG